rnacentral:rRNA from 1 species
AUUGAACGCUGGCGGCAGGCCUAACACAUGCAAGUCGAGCGGAUCAAGGGAGCUUGCUCCUGGAUUCAGCGGCGGACGGGUGAGUAAUGCCUAGGAAUCUGCCUGGUAGUGGGGGAUAACGUCCGGAAACGGGCGCUAAUACCGCAUACGUCCUGAGGGAGAAAGUGGGGGAUCUUCGGACCUCACGCUAUCAGAUGAGCCUAGGUCGGAUUAGCUAGUUGGUGGGGUAAAGGCCUACCAAGGCGACGAUCCGUAACUGGUCUGAGAGGAUGAUCAGUCACACUGGAACUGAGACACGGUCCAGACUCCUACGGGAGGCAGCAGUGGGGAAUAUUGGACAAUGGGCGAAAGCCUGAUCCAGCCAUGCCGCGUGUGUGAAGAAGGUCUUCGGAUUGUAAAGCACUUUAAGUUGGGAGGAAGGGCAGUAAGUUAAUACCUUGCUGUUUUGACGUUACCAACAGAAUAAGCACCGGCUAACUUCGUG